UCGAGCGGCAGCGCGGGGGCAACCCUGGCGGCGAGCGGCGAACGGGUGAGUAAUGCAUCGGAACGUGUCCUCUUGUGGGGGAUAACCAGUCGAAAGAUUGGCUAAUACCGCAUGAGAUCGAGAGAUGAAAGCAGGGGACCGCAAGGCCUUGCGCGAGAGGAGCGGCCGAUGCCGGAUUAGCUAGUUGGUGGGGUAAAAGCCUACCAAGGCGACGAUCCGUAGCUGGUCUGAGAGGACGACCAGCCACACUGGGACUGAGACACGGCCCAGACUCCUACGGGAGGCAGCAGUGGGGAAUUUUGGACAAUGGGGGCAACCCUGAUCCAGCCAUGCCGCGUGUGUGAAGAAGGCCUUCGGGUUGUAAAGCACUUUCGGACGGAACGAAAUCGCGCGAUCUAAUAAGUCGCGUGGAUGACGGUACCGUAAGAAGAAGCACCGGCUAACUACGUGCCAGCAGCCGCGGUAAUACGUAGGGUGCGAGCGUUA
rnacentral:rRNA from 1 species